rnacentral:rRNA from 1 species
AGUGAACGCUGGCGGUAGGCCUAACACAUGCAAGUCGAACGGCAGCACAGUAAGAGCUUGCUCUUACGGGUGGCGAGUGGCGGACGGGUGAGGAAUACAUCGGAAUCUACUUUUUCGUGGGGGAUAACGUAGGGAAACUUACGCUAAUACCUCAUACGACCUACGGGUGAAAGCAGGGGAUCUUCGGACCUUGUGCGAUUGAAUGAGCCGAUGUCGGAUUAGCUAGUUGGCGGGGUAAAGGCCCACCAAGGGGACGAUCCGUAGCUGGUCUGAGAGGAUGAUGAGCCACACUGGAAAAGAGACAAGGACCAGAAUCCUAAGAAGGGCGGCAGAGGGGAAUAUUGGACAAUGGGAGCAAGCCUGAUCCAGGCAUACCGCGUGGGUGAAGAAGGCCUUCGAGUUGUAAAACCCUUUUGUUGGGAAAGAAAAGCAGCAGGUUAAUACCCCGCUGUUCUGACGGUACCCAAAGAAUAAGCACCGGCUAACUUCGUG